CAAACGCACAGCUUUCUUUCAACUGCACGGGCAGGCCCCGACACUCAAGAGGAAAUCGGAUCUGGGGUUUUGAAAAACCACGACAGGAAACAUUAGUGCUGAUGAAGGUCGGGGCUCAGCUCCUCGUUAAAUACAGCCAGUCCUGAGAGAACCCUGAAUUACAGAACAGUAAUCAAGGAGCAACUAAAAUGUCCCGGGCUGUCCUGCUGAACCUGCUACUUUUAUUUCCAGCUCCUGCUCUCGGCAAGGUCUGGAUCAACCAGUCUCCCGGCAGGACCUGCCAUCGCGCCGGGGGCUCGGUGACCUUCCACUGCAGCAUCCUGUCCGACGGCGAGAAGCUGGAGGACUGCGCGCCCUACUGGUACGUCCCGGGGCCGGCGGGAUCGGCGGGGCCCGCGGAGCUCCAGGACGUGACCGGCGCGGAGCAGUUCCGAACCCGGAUCAGCGUGCAGGAGGACAUGGCCACCUACUCCUUCCUGACCCUCGCCGGGCUGCAGGAGCAGGACAACAACACCUUCUACUGCUCCCUCAAGUGCAGGAUCAACGGCAAAUUCGAAUCGCGGACAGGACCGGGCAGCGUGCUGGGAGUGACCGGAGCACCCACUCAGGAAUGCCACGGCGAGCAGGGAGAGCCCUUCCCGGGAGAGCUGAGGGUGGAGCAGUGGGCGUCACCGCGGCCCCACUGCGCCGGCGGCUCGGUCAUGCUGCACUGCCAGAUCUCGUCCCGCCGCCGCCGGCUGGAGGAGUGCCGCGCCUCCUGGCUCGGCCCCGACCCGGACACGGCGCCGGCGGCGAACGGGACGGGGGCGGGGGGGACCUACAGCUGGCUGCUCCUCACCCGCCUCCGGGCCAACGGCAGCGGCGGCUUCCUGUGCAGCGUGAGCUGCAGGGUCGAAGGGCGGCGCUGGACCGUGACCGGGCCCGGCAGCCUCCUCAACGUCACGCCCUGCGGCAGCUGGCAGCAAGGCAGGUGCUCUCGAACCCGCGGCCAUGGAGCUCGCCCCACCCCAGAACCCGAAUCUCGGGAUCCGCCAUUCCGAAGCGCCGCCCGUCUUCCGAUUCCGAUGUGGCGUGAGCCGGGGGGGCCAGCAGGGGGCGUGUGUGCACCAGCAGACGGCCCAGGCAGUUCAGACAGGGAGGUGCAGGGGCGUUCUGGCUCCGUGUCUGCGAUCCGGCACUCGGGCCAAACCACAGAGCCACGCCCUUGGCCUGAUUCACGCUGAAGGAAUCGGGCAGUUUCUCCUCGCAGGACGGAGCUGACGAGACGCUGGGUUGAAGAACGCAGGAACUGCAGGACCCCGGGUUUCAGGCUCACCUGCUCACCGCCGGGCAGAGGCCUGAAGCACAGGAGUCCGCAGUCACAACACAUGUUCAUCACGUGCUCUGAGCUGCCACUGCUAUAGGGACAGCCGGCCCAGGCGUUAACAGAGCUCAGGCGAGGAGUCUCAGAGAGCCGGGGUAAACCGCCCCGGUCACCAUACUGGGCCACAGGGAUGGGAGUUCUGCUCCAGAGGGAACAGCGCUAGUAUGUCUCCAGUCUGCAGGUUUAUCAAGAUCUUAUUCAAGUUCCUCUGCUGCUUCCACAGCACCUGCUGAUCCUUCUAACUGGGUACACUGGUAGGUUAGACUGGGCCCUGGUGUGAGUGUGUGAGACGCGUGUCCCACACUCAUACAGAUCAGCGAUAGGAAUUCGAAACAGCAGCACCCCUAGUCCAGACACUGAGGUACUCCCCUAACACAGCUUCUGCUAGGCUACUACAGCAUGGCUGCAGAAGACUCAGCAAAAAUUGCUUCUCCUAAAAAAGAGUAACAGAAAAGAGCAGAAUGUUUAAAAGACAUCUGCAUAGUGUGUGUGCUGACGUGGAUUAUACACUCCGAAAACUGCAGUGCCUAUGGCAAACUCUCGCUGUGUCAGUAAUUACUGAACAUAAACAACCUGCAAAACCCAACCAACAGGAACUGAAUAUUAGUCACUUCUUACCUAAAUACUAAUAUAGCAAAUUCCACAGCUCCACCACAUUUUAAAGACUCUUAUAAACUUAUUUUAAUGACUAUUAAUAACCUACCUGAACUACUUCACUUUAAUGACUAUGUUUAUAAUCGCACAAAACAGAGCAACACUAACUUUUUCACCUACAAUCUGUGAAGAAAAAAAAGCACCAUGUCCCAGUUCAGCCAUGGACGUUCGGUGCUGCAACCAAAACUCAACAUUUCCGCGUCUUGAAGUCCGAGUCCAUGUGAACUGCACAGCCACUAGCGUCGAGAGCCUGGGUCUGGCGCCCUCUGCUGGCGGCUCGCUGGCACGCAACUUGAUUUUGGGGGAUUUCAGGGAAAAUCUAUUUUUGAAAAACGGGGUAAGUUAUUAAAUGCGAAACAGCAGCGCCACCACCCCUCGAGACAGAGUUUCUGGUUCUGUGGGCCCACAGGUCGAGCCCCGAACUGACUUCACGACACGACUCAUCCGAACUGUUAGACUGCGCUCAGCUCCGGCUCACACGGAGGUUUGCCUUUUGUCAACUGCAUUUCAUAAAGUAGAACAAAACAUCUGUGUACAGAACACAACUUCAGGCCCGCAGUCCUCCAGCGCCAGGCUGGGGACCCCUGUGCCCGAACUCGCACACAGGAGCGCGUUAAAGCCGGUCUCGGCGCCGCUGGCUGGGCUUUAGCGAUGCAAGGGGCGGUAACGCCCAGCAGGUGGCAGCUUGCCAUUUGUGAUCAACUUUCCAGCUGGGCACAUAACUUCGUCCAGAAAUAGCGCUGCAGUGCAGCCGUGCGAGUAUUAGCGACACAAUCCCACUGAAUGCACAGCCGAAACAUCCACGUGAACACGACUUCGCUGCAAAGUCCAGCUGUUCUCCGGUAACAUUCUGACGUGGCAUCAACGCCCCCCGCGUGGUGUCUUCUUCCCGGGUGUUUUUGACGCAGGGCCGGCCCUCGCCGCGCAGGCGCACUGACCUUCUCCCCCUCUCUCGCUCGCGCCAGGUUGCGGCCCCCCCGUGCUGUGGCGCGUGUACUCGCUCUUCGCCGUGAACGGGCUGGUGCUGUGCGCGGCCGCCGCCAUGUGCGCCGCCCUGCUGCGGAGGAGGCUGGGCAGCCGGCGCCGCUGGGAGGUGAUGUAAGCCCCGCCCCGCCCCGCCCGGAGAUGAAGGCGGGUGGGCGUGGACGAGAGGAGCCCCGCCCCCCGUGGCGUCAUGGGAACUUCCGGCCGAGGCGCAGGCUGACUGACCGCUCGCGGGUGAAUGUCUGGCCGCACUGAUGCACUACAGUCCUGUGCCGUCUGGACGUGUCUACAUGCUACGGACUGCACCCCGCUGAUUCAGCCCGCCAUUAACCCUUCCCCUCCCGCUCACCGACACCAGUAUCCGGUUACUUCGUUGGCCGUCCUGCUUCCCCCGGCCUCAUCAUUUGCAACCUUUAUCUUAAUUUUUUGAAUGAAGUUUUUUUUGUAAUAAGGUGCCUCGCGUGUUGUUUCGUUUGUCUCACAUCUGCCUUCGUACUCAUAUCGGUGUCGGCGACGAUCCGCGCCUACAGGCCUCUUUCCAGCAGCCAGCAGCCUUUCCUAUGGCCAGCAGCCAUAUCACCCUGCAAC
ensembl:lincRNA